rnacentral:rRNA from 1 species
GUAACGAGCGCAACCCUUGUCCUUAGUUACCAGCACGUUAUGUGGGCACUCUAAGGAGACUGCCGGUGACAAACCGGAGGAAGGUGGGGAUGACGUCAAGUCAUCAUGGCCCUUACGGCCUGGGCUACACACGUGCUACAAUGGUCGGUACAAAGGGUUGCCAAGCCGCGAGGUGGAGCUAAUCCCAUAAAACCGAAUCGUAGUCCGGAUCGCAGUCUGCAACUCGACUGCGUGAAGUCGGAAUCGCUAGUAAUCGUGAAUCAGAAUGUCACGGUGAAUACGUUCCCGGGCCUU